CAGCAAACUAAGAAUAAAAAUCCCAAAUGAACUUUUUAAAACCAGUCACCCCCACUACUCAAAUUCAUCCAUCAAGCCUCUGAGAAUCUUCUCUGCGAGAGCCCCACACGACAUGCGGUACAAAAGCAGGAAGUGCCUAAGGUUAAAGGACCACACUAUAAAUAACGUCCACUGGCCUCACACAUUCAUACUAGCCUAUCUCUUGUUCCCAAACAUUCUCUCAAGUAAAGGACUGUGAAAUAAGAGCUGGUUCAACAUUUUCUCCUCUGGGCUCAUGUGACUGUCAGUGUAUUAACAAUGAAAAUCCACAGAGCUGAGUUUCAUCUAAUGGAUACUUUUUUCAUCGUGAAGAAGGGGUUAUCCUGUGUUAUCACAGGACUAGAGAUAGAAGUUUGGCUGUAUUGCCUCUGUUGGUUUGUAAGGUUUUGUUGUUUGGGGAGAAGCAGGACGAAGGAAACAAAGGAAGGACAAAUGCCGCUUGGAGAAGGGACGCUUAUGAAAGGGGAAAGAGCUCCAAGCAGAAAGCCGUUAGAGACGCUGUUCAUUUCUCCUUAAAGCCUUGAGUGAGUGGUCACCUCUCCAGCUCCGGGACCUUAGCAGCUGCAGGACUGGAACCCAGGCAGCCUGACUGCAGAGACCUUGUUCUUCCUGUAACCUCUAUACCCUCCUGGGCUCUGAUGAGUCACUUUGGAAUCUACAGGAGCAGCCCACUGAGCCACACUACUCCAAAGCGACUUAGUGUAUCCAAGCUGCCGCUGAGACGGGAGAGGCAGGGAGUGCACGUUCCCAGGCUCAGGAGUGAGAUGACACCAGAUCUACAGCUCUAGCCCUGACCUUGCUGAUGGGCCCCUACCGGUCCACGGAUGUCCACCUGGCACUGGCUUAUCAACAAGACAGACAAGCAUGGAUGCAAAGCCGACUAGCAAGCACUUCCUAACUAAGCGACCUUGAGCGUAUGAAUCAGGGGAGUCCAGAUGAGGUAUGUAAACAAUUCCCAAAUCUCAGGAGCUUAGACCAAUAAAGGUCUGUUUCACGUUCCUAUUAACAUGUGCAUUCUAUGCUGGUUGGGCUCUGUUCUGGAUCCUCUUUUCCUCUCAAUCCAGGACUCAAGCCAAUGGAGCAGUCAGACUGAAUAUGGUCAGUCUGUAGCAGAGGAAAAUAAAGGACUCCAGAAGGUCCCUCACCAGCAAUUGUAUUAUAUGCUUGGCCUCAAACUGGCAAUAUCCCUUCCAACAACCCCACCCAACUUCAGCGAGUUAGAAAAUACAAUCUGACUCUAGCUCUCCAACUUCAGGACACAGAUAUACUUGGUGAAUAGCCUGGUGCCUUCUACAGUGAGUUAAUCCACUGCACUUAGCCUCAGUGACCCAUAUGGAAAAUGGAGAUAAUUACACACACCUCCACAGAUUGUCAUAAAGGUUAAUCAGAGUUGACUCAUGUAGAGCACUUAGAAUAGUCCCUGGCCCAUAGGAGGUUCUCCAGAAAUACCAGCUCCUUUCCUUGCAUUCGAAACAGAAUUCUCAGUCUCCCACACCUGCUUCUGGCUGCCCACACCCCAUGUCUGAAAAAGAUUCCACCGUUUUUCUAGUCACUUUCAAUAAAAACCUGCCCGUUAUCUAGGAUCUCUCUUCAUCCUUCAUCAUGUCCCCCCAGUACAAUGACCUCCAAGUUUGGCCAAUAUGCCCCAUGUGAGGUCAUCACUUUCCAUCACUACUGAGACCCAUCCUACUAUAGGAUUUUAUUAUCUUAUUGUAUCAGUUAGGAUUUUAAAAAAUUGCUAACAACAUAAACAAGCUCUGGUCAUCCUAGUUCCCCUCUCCACAAAAGGCAAAGCAGUAAAGGAGCAUGGGAUUAUCCGAAGGCCACCAGACCGUCACACAGAAUAAAGGAAGGGCUGAACAUGAGGUCUCAGGAUAGACGAGGAACAGGGCAGUGCCACGGUCUCAAUCUGGACUGAGCCCCAUGGUAUAGACAGGGUCAGUGAGGCUCACACCAGUGCACGCUGUUCUCAGAGGCCACUGUCGUGGACCAGAUAGACCCCACUCCCAGCAAUAGCUUCCAUACUUGGUGUCAGAAACUCUGCAAUCAGCUCCCCCUGCCCCAAUGUGGCCCCAGUCCAAUCUUUUCUCAAUAUUCCAACCAGAUCAACUAGUCCUAAAGUUUGGGUUAAGUCACUCAAACUACUGUGAUGAACAAUCAGGUGUCUACCAUGCACUAAACACUGUAUAAAACCUGGACCUUUGUGCCAAGCUAGCGAUAAAGCCUUCAGAAAUUUGUUCUCCGUUGGCAUUUAGUUCAGCCGUGUCCUUCAGCUGGCAUUAGAACGUUAGGGAUUUUAGCCCCACUCCACCUCUCCAGAUGGUAUCCUGACCACCCUCUCUAUUCCCUACAUGGGCUCCAUGUCCUUCCCACUCUGAGACCAACUGCUGUUCUCUGAUGUGUCUUCUGAGUGUUCCUGCUGCUUGGGCUUCUGUUGAUGCCACUUUCUAGAGCUAGGUGGUCUCUCUCAUGCCAGCUCUCCCACAGAGCUUCCCCUGAGAGCCCACCUAGAAGUCACUGUUCCAUCCUCUGACCUCUUAAAGGUGACACUGUCUGUAUUACUGAGUCCCACUCUCUAAUUGCCAAAAGACUGUAAAACCCCGAGGGCAGGGAUCCCACAGGGUCUAACACAGAGUGGAAUGCAAAUAAGGAAUAUUCACCUUACUCACUGGAGGACGAGGUAAAAGUGAAAAAUAGAUCAGAAUGAGAGCCAGAGAGCCCCGGUCACCUCCUGGCAUGACCUAGGCUGAAGUGCUUCCAUUCUCGCUUCCAAUACUCAGCAUUUCCUGGCUUGCUUUACUCCAUGGAACUUUCUGUCUCACUAUCAGAGGCGUCACCUCCCUUGUGGACUUGAAUUUUGGUCUUACCCCAUAAAUUGUGUCUGCCACCUUGGCUGGGCUCCACCCGGGUCCUGAUUUGCACCUCAGGGGCACCAUUUGACUCCUCUGUCCAUUCCCUGCCGAAUCCUGGGUAUAUGUCCAGGGCUCUGCUCCAUUCCAGCAGCGGGCAAUGAGCCACAGUUAGUACUGAGAGAAGCAGUCUCACACCCUCUACAGCCCUGGGAGAGUCCCUGUUUGGCAGGAAAUGCAGAGCUGUCCAUAAUGAUGGCAGAAGAUGGCACCACGGUCCUUCUCGUGCUCAAAGCACAAAAUUGGCAGCCAUCUGGCUCUUCUCUCUCCCUUGCUUUGACAGCCUGUCAGUUCCACCUUUGCAAUAUCUUUAUUAUCCAUCAGUCUCUCAAACUCCACAGUUUUUCCUUCGAUUGGGGCUCAUUAUUUCUCACUUGAACCUGAGUGAACUCUUAACCUGUCCCAGUGUCCCCUCCUCUGCCCAUCUCUGCUCAACUGCCCAAGGGAUCUUUUAGAAUGCUUCCCCCGCCACCCAAUCGCAUCGUAGAUAAUGAAACUCCUUAGCAGCCACCCAUGGCCCUUUACAAUCUGGUCAUGACCUAUUUCGUCAGCCUCAUCACUUACCUUCCAACACCCUCCCCAUGUCUGCUCCAUCUAACUGCUUUCCAUUCCAUCCUAAGUCCCCUUGGAUGGAAUUUUCGGACCAGCCCUAAAAUCAAACCCAAAAAUUCCAAAAAUGAAGGCAACUCCAUUUAGCUUGCUUGUUCGUUCACUAAAAAUGAAAACAAGCUGCCACUGCCAUCAAGUUCCUCAGGGCAACAGGAGGUGACAGGAAGAUCCCAAAAUGCCUGGAAAGGUGGAGAGCUGGCCAGCCUCUCCAUGAGGGCAGAACAGACCAGCUGAGGCCUAGUGAGCCACAGCAGGGGAGAUAAUAGGCAAGAAUCCUGCUGCUCAGGGACAGGCGUUCAUUUGGGAAUGUCACGGGGCACAACACAACCUAGUCCACAGCAAUCCUUUCCCGUUUCAUGUAAUAGAAUUUCCUCCAAAAAUUAUAAGCCAAGAAGCUCAUCUUUCCUUCUUUAUUGAGCUAUAAGCAGACUGCCAUAGUCGUGAGCAGAUAACUGCAAAUCUGGGCAGUGAUCUAUGAAAUCAGAACAGACCUGAGUUUGGAGAUGUGAUUAAUUAAAAUUUUUAACCAAGUUCAUCCCACAUAUAUUUAAUGUUAUGCAUAAGUGCUUUUGUGCUGGCUGGAAAUUAGGCCCAAAGAGUGGGCAGUUCACAGAAAUGCUGCAGACCCUGUGAUUCUUAAACAGACAAACCUGAUUGUGUUUCUUCCCUCAGUUACUGCUUCAGAAUCCACUAGGAUGACUGGCAGAUCGUUCCCUGCCCAUGUCUGCACCAAAGCCCGUGCAUUUCUUGUGCACACAGGAUAUGUGCACUCUAACAGUGAAGGGCAUCAGGUGCUUCUUCUGGCCUUGAACUGAGGUUGCCUGUGCUUGUACCUGGGGGACCUCUGGAAUGGAAAAGGCUUGGUCGGCAUUUACAAGCACUGCAACCUUGAACAAGCCCUUCAGUCUUCUAAAAAAUGAGGAUAGCCCAAGCUCACCCAUGGAGGCUGUGAAGAUGAACUAAAGAGACACAUUAGGACUAUACCGCCUACACUGCUUUCAGAGGAGGAGGAAACUUUUCCAUCACAGAGUUAGGGAACAGGAUUCAUAUGUGCCAACCUUGUGUAAAGACACCACUGUCCCUGACAGAUUCUACCUGUUCCUGCAAGAACAGUCCAAAUGAAGCCACUAUUGGUCUGUGUUCAUCCACCCCGGUGUAGUACGGAACCAGGGAUUUCUGGCCAACUCAGCCAGGGCUGGGGCAGUGGAAGAAGCCCACCAGGUCAUCUACAACACUCCAGCUGAUCUGCACCAGGCUCCUUCCCACAGAGUCAGGACUUGUUGAUUUACUUUACUAAGUAUGAAUUAAAACACCAACAAAGAGGUUAAUUUGCUUUUAUGACUUCUGAAAAAGUAAUGUAUUUAUCUGGUACACGCUUUGGCUCAGAUCGCUUUCUAUAGGCCCUUGUAAUACAUGGUGAUCCUUGAGUGUGCAUGCCACAAGCAUGGGGCUGGAGCACAGAGGCUGCCCAGAGGCUCAAACAAGGAGGGUCCUGGCCCCAGGGGCACAGGCAGAUUCCUAGGGUCUCAAGGCCAGUGGGCAGAGCUAGAAUCCAGUCAGGGCAGAAGA